rnacentral:lncRNA from 8 species
UAGAACAUCUCAGCGUUCUAUUGAAGGUUUUCUGUUCGAAAACAAGAACAACUUCAAUUUGCUGUUUAACAACAACAAAGUUGACUGAUUUGUGAGACCUGAGAUUGAAAAAUCGACUGGAAAAUGCCUGGGUGCUUUUCAAGGGUUCGCGAUCAUCGGGAGGUGGACAGCGACUUUGAAGAGGAAUCAAAUGUACUGGAUGAGGUCCAGUUGGAUGUGCCACUGCUGCCAGUCAUCCUUGAUGUCCAGGAUGCUGCUAUCAUCCUUGAGGAUGGGCCAGAUGUGCCGACUUUCCUUGAGGAGGCCACUGGUAAUUGGCAGUUGAUACCGAUUAGGUUCAGCCCCCUGUACUGUGGGCCUGUUGUGAUCAGAAACAAUGCCAGUCCGCUGGCUAAAGCUUGGAGGACUUUCCAUUUCAUCAGCCCCAUUAUCACCUACAUGCGUGGUGGAUCCCAGGUGGUGGUGAGGAUGCACCAUGUAAGUAGGGUUCGAGGCCUGGAGACUCAACUGGUGUGGUACAUCUCCAGGGAGACAGCCAGACUUAGUCUAGAGGGCAUCCCCUACUGUGCCAACAAGGUGCAGUCCAUCACUUGGAUCCUGUAUGUGGCUGGGAGGGUGACCCAGUAUGCAUCUCACCUCCACCAUGAGACGUCUGUGGACGUGACAUUUGACUGUUACCGGCAGACUGAUGUCUCGGUGGUGUACACCAUUCUCCACAUGGGACUGGAUGGGCUGCUCUCCUCCUCGGCGUGGUCGGAGGCUGCCUCCGUCUCUACGCCCACCAAUCAGCAGUUCACUGAGCCAGAGCCUGAGGGCCACAACUGCUAUGAGGUCAGAUGUUAGACACACACCUACACAUUCUAUUGACUAGUAGCAUUAAGAUCCUUCCAUUGACCCAUUGUUUGUCAUGUCAUUGCAUUGGUCACUGAUGUUGAAUGUUUGUUCUGUUGUUGUAUGGCUGGGAGGAGGACCUGCUGCAUAAGGAGAGGGAGGUUCCUCUGCUAAAGUGAGUUCCUGUAAAUGUCUGUGUAGUCUGGGCUUGUCA